GACGAACCGUGCGAACGUUGUUCGGAAUAACUGGGCUUAAAGGGCGCGUAGGCGGUUUCUCAAGUCCGGGGUGAAAGCUUUCGGCUUAACCGGAAAAGGGCCUUGGAUACUGAGAAGCUGGAGGGAGGUAGGGGCCGUUGGAACUUCCAGUGGAGCGGUGAAAUGCGUUGAUAUCGGAAGGAACUCCGGUGGCGAAAGCGAACGGCUGGAUCUCUUCUGACGCUGAGGCGCGAAAGCUAGGGGAGCAAACGGG
rnacentral:rRNA from 1 species